rnacentral:rRNA from 1 species
AGGGUUUGAUCCUGGCUCAGGACGAACGCUGGCGGCGUGCCUAAUACAUGCAAGUCGAGCGGAUCUUCAUUAGCUUGCUUUUGAAGAUCAGCGGCGGACGGGUGAGUAACACGUGGGCAACCUGCCUGUAAGACUGGGAUAACUUCGGGAAACCGGAGCUAAUACCGGAUAAUCCUUUCCCUCACAUGAGGGAAAGCUGAAAGACGGUUUCGGCUGUCACUUACAGAUGGGCCCGCGGCGCAUUAGCUAGUUGGUGAGGUAACGGCUCACCAAGGCAACGAUGCGUAGCCGACCUGAGAGGGUGAUCGGCCACACUGGGACUGAGACACGGCCCAGACUCCUACGGGAGGCAGCAGUAGGGAAUCUUCCGCAAUGGACGAAAGUCUGACGGAGCAACGCCGCGUGAACGAUGAAGGCUUUCGGGUCGUAAAGUUCUGUUGUCAGGGAAGAACAAGUACCGGAGUAACUGCCGGUACCUUGACGGUACCUGACCAGAAAGCCACGGCUAACUACGUGCCAGCAGCCGCGGUAAUACGUAGGUGGCAAGCGUUGUCCGGAAUUAUUGGGCGUAAAGCGCGCGCAGGCGGUUCCUUAAGUCUGAUGUGAAAGCCCCCGGCUCAACC